rnacentral:rRNA from 1 species
UAGGGAAUUUUGGGCAAUGGGCGAAAGCCUGACCCAGCAACGCCGCGUGUGGGAUGAAGGCCCUCGGGUCGUAAACCACUGUCAGGAGGAAAGAAAAGCCAUCCGGGUAAUAUUCGGGUGGCCUGACGGUACCUCCAAAGGAAGCACCGGCUAACUCCGUGCCAGCAGCCGCGGUAAUACGGAGGGUGCAAGCGUUGUUCGGAAUUACUGGGCGUAAAGCGCGUGUAGGUGGUUGAGUAAGUCGAAUGUGAAAGCCCCGGGCUCAACCCGGGAAGUGCAUCCGAAACUGCUCGACUAGAGUCCCGGAGAGGAAGGCAGAAUUCCCAAUGUAGGGGUGAAAUCCGUAGAUAUUGGGAGGAAUACCGGUGGCGAAGGCGGCCUUCUGGACGGUGACUGACACUCAGACGCGAAAGCGUGGGGAGCAAACAGG